GAUGAAGAACGCAGCGAAAUGCGAUAAGUAAUGUGAAUUGCAGAAUUCAGUGAAUCAUCGAAUCUUUGAACGCAUCUUGCGGUCCUUGGUAUUCUGAGGAGCAUGCCUGUUUGAGUGUCAUUAAAUUCUCAACUACACUGACUUUGAAUUGGUGUGGCUUGGAUUUGGGGGGAAAAUUGUUGUGGGCUUUUUGUAUAGUCUGCUCCCCUGAAAUUGAUUAGCGGUACCUUUGUGGAACUGUCUACAGGUGUGAUAAUUAUCUACAUCUUAGACAUCUGCUGGAAUGCUGCUUUCUAAACCUUACUUGUAUUGACAAUCUUGACCUCAAAUCAGGUAGGACUACCCGCUGAACUUAAGCAUAUCAAUAAGCGGAGGA
rnacentral:misc_RNA from 1 species